GGAUCAUUACCGAGUUUACAACUCCCAAACCCCUGUGAACAUACCUUAAUGUUGCCUCGGCGGAUCAGCCCGCGCCCGGUAAAACGGGACGGCCCGCCAGAGGAUCCAAACUCUUGCUGUUAUUGUAACUUCUGAGUAAAACAAACAAAUAAAUCAAAACUUUCAACAACGGAUCUCUUGGUUCUGGCAUCGAUGAAGAACGCAGCAAAAUGCGAUAAGUAAUGUGAAUUGCAGAAUUCAGUGAAUCAUCGAAUCUUUGAACGCACAUUGCGCCCGCCAGUAUUCUGGCGGGCAUGCCUGUUCGAGCGUCAUUUCAACCCUCAAGCCCCCGGGUUUGGUGUUGGGGAUCGGCAAGCCUUCUGGCGAGCCGCCCCCUAAAUCUAGUGGCGGUCUCACUGCAGCCUCCAUUGCGUAGUAGCUAACACCUCGCAACUGGAACGCGGUGCGGCCAUGCCGUUAAACCCCCAACUUCUGAAUGUUGACCUCGGAUCAGGUAGGAAUACCCGCUGAACUUAAGCAUAUCAAUAAGCGGAGGAAAAGAAACCAACAGGGAUUGCCCUAGUAACGGCGAGUGAAGCGGCAACAGCUCAAAUUUGAAAUCUGGCUCUCGGGCCCGAGUUGUAAUUUGUAGAGGAUACUUUUGAUGCGGUGCCUUCCGAGUUCCCUGGAACGGGACGCCAUAGAGGGUGAGAGCCCCGUCUGGUUGGAUGCCAAAUCUCUGUAAAGUUCCUUCAACGAGUCGAGUAGUUUGGGAAUGCUGCUCUAAAUGGGAGGUAUAUGUCUUCUAAAGCUAAAUACCGGCCAGAGACCGAUAGCGCACAAGUAGAGUGAUCGAAAGAUGAAAAGCACUUUGAAAAGAGAGUUAAAAAGUACGUGAAAUUGUUGAAAGGGAAGCGUUUAUGACCAGACUUGGGCUUGGUUAAUCAUCUGGGGUUCUCCCCAGUGCACUUUUCCAGCUCAGGCCAGCAUCAGUUUUCCCCGGGGGAUAAAGGCGGAGGGAAUGUGGCUCUCUUCGGGGAGUGUUAUAGCCCACCGUGUAAUACCCUGGGGGGGACUGA
rnacentral:rRNA from 1 species